rfam:Otolemur garnettii contig162501, whole genome shotgun sequence.
UAGGGGGGACAGGGUUCAAGUACCCCUCCCUGAGCCCAGGGUAACCCUAAAAGUGGAGGGGAA